rnacentral:rRNA from 1 species
GAUGAACGCUGGCGGCGUGCUUAACACAUGCAAGUCGAACGAAGCACCUUGAUUCGAUUCUUCGGAUGAAGAUCUUGGUGACUGAGUGGCGGACGGGUGAGUAACGCGUGGGUAACCUGCCUCAUACAGGGGGAUAACAGUUAGAAAUGACUGCUAAUACCGCAUAAGACCACAGCACCGCAUGGUGCAGGGGUAAAAACUCCGGUGGUAUGAGAUGGACCCGCGUCUGAUUAGGUAGUUGGUGGGGUAACGGCCUACCAAGCCGACGAUCAGUAGCCGAGCUGAGAGGGUGACCCGACACAGUGAGACUGAGACACGGCCCAAACUCCUACGGGAGGCAGCAGUGGGGAAUAUUGCACAAUGGGGGAAACCCUGAUGCAGCGACGCCGCGUGAGCGAUGAAGUAUUUCGGUAUGUAAAGCUCUAUAAGCAGGGAAGAAAAUGACGGUACCUGAAGAAGAAGCACCGGCUAAAUACGUG